CUACAAAUGAAUUGACGGGUCCCCGCACAAGCAGCGGAGCGUGUGGUUUAAUUCGAUGAUACACGAAGAACCUUACCCAGGCUUGACAUGUUGGUGGUAGGGAUCCGAAAGGUGACCGACCUUCGGGGAGCCUUCACAGGUGCUGCAUGGCUGUCGUCAGCUCGUGUCGUGAGAUGUCCGGUUAAGUCCGGUAACGAGCGCAACCCUCGCUGUGUGUUAUAUGUGUCACACGGGACUGCCGGUAUCAAGCCGGAGGAAGGUGGGAUGACGUCAAGUCAGCAUGGCCUUUAUGUCCAGGGCUACACACGUGUUACAAUGGUCGGUACAGAGGGCAGCUACCUGGUGACAGGAUGCUAAUCUCGAAAACCGGCCUCAGUUCGGAUCGAAGUCUGCAACUCGACUUCGUGAAGCUGGAUUCGCUAGUAAUCGCGCAUCAGCCAUGGCGCGGUGAAUACGUUCCCGGGCCUU
rnacentral:rRNA from 1 species